UACGGAGGAUGCAAGCGUUAUCCGGAAUUAUUGGGCGUAAAGCGUCCGCAGGUGGCACUUCAAGUCUGUCGUCAAAGACCGGGGCUUAACCCUGGAAAGGCGAUGGAAACUGAAAGGCUAGAGAGAGGUAGGGGUAGAGGGAAUUCCCAGUGUAGCGGUGAAAUGCGUAGAUAUCUGGAGGAACACCGGUGGCGAAGGCGGCAUCCUGGACCAAUUCUGACGCUGAGGAGCGAAAGCCAGGGGAGCAAACGGG
rnacentral:rRNA from 1 species